GAAAGCGGAACACAUAAGGGAGCUUGCUCCUUUGACAUUAGCGGCGGACGGGUGAGUAACGCGUGGGAAACCUCCCUAUAAGAGGGGAAAACCUCCGGAAACCCGGGGCUAAUGCCGGAUAAUCUUUAGAACCAAAGGGUUCUAAAGUGAAAGAGGUUUUUGCUAUCUUUUAUAGUUGGACCCGCCCCUUAUUAACUGGUUGGUAAGGGAAUGGCUUACCAGGGCAACGAUACGUACCCAACCUGAGAGGGUGAUCGACCACCCGGGAACUGACACACGGUCCAAACUCCUGGGGAAGGCAGCAGUAGGGAAUCUUCCCCAAUGGGCGAAAGCCUGACGGAGCAACACCGCGUGAGUGAUGAAGGGUUUCGGCUCGUAAAACUCUGUUAUUAGGGAAAAACAACCGUGUAAAUAACUGUGCACGUCUUGACGGUACCUAAUCAAAAAGCCCCGGCUAACUACGUGCCAGCAGCCGCGGUAAUACUUAGGUGACAAGCGUUAUCCGAAAUUAUUGGGCGUAAAGCGCGCGUAGGCGGUUUCUUACCUCUGAUGUGAAAGCCCACGGCUCACCCGUGGAGGGUCAUUGAAUCUGGGAGACUUGAGUGCAUACAGGAGUGUGGAAUUCCAUGUGUAGCGGUGAAAUGCACACAGAUGGGGAGGACACCUGUGGCGAAGGCGACUUUCCUGGUCUGUAACUGACGCUGAUGUGCAACAGCGUGAGGAUCAAACAGGAUUAUAUACCCUGAUAAUCCACGCCGUAACUAUGAGUGCUACGUGUUAGGGGGUUUCCGCCCCUUAAUGCUGCAACUAACUGAUUAAGCACUCC
rnacentral:rRNA from 1 species